AUUGAACGCUGGCGGCCGGCCUAACACAUGCAAGUCUACCGAGUGGCGGCCGGGUGCUUCAUGUCUGGGAAACUGCCCGAUGGAGGGGGAUAACUGCUGGAAACGGUACCUAAUACCGCAUACCAUCGGAUGUGCCCCGAUGGGAUUAGCUAGUAGGUGGGGUAACGGCUCACCUAGGCGACGAUCCCUAGCUGGUCUGAGAGGAUGACCAGCCACACUGGAACUGAGGCACGGUCCAGACUCCUACGGGAGGCAGCAGGGGGGAAUAGUGCACAAUGGGGACAAGACUGAGGCGGGCAUGACGGGUGUAGGAAAAAGGCCUUGGGGUUGUAAAGUAGGUGCAGCGAGGAGGCGUUAAUCGCAGAAGAAGCACCGGCUAACGCCGUGCCAGCAGCCGCGGUAAUAC
rnacentral:rRNA from 1 species